UAAUUUAUUGUCAAAUAUAAUAAAAUUUGUCCCAAUUCCAUACGCCGUUUAGUUUUUUCCAUCUGCCUGCCAAUUAAGAAAAAUCGUAAAAACGAAAUACCGAGAAAUCGUGCGUCAAAGUUUUCGCGCUCUGCCCAAUCGCUCGUAUAUCUGCUAGGUCACUAUUUUCCUUCUAGCAUCGAGAAUAUUUCAAAUUCCCAUCUAAAACUUUGGGGACAUAUUCUUAGAUUAUUUUUAAGGAGAUGUAAGUAAAAAAAUCGAUUUUGUGAAGCUUCUAAAUCAGGAUCCCCCCUUAAGCUCCUUUUAAGUUUUUAUUUUUUUUGAUUAUUUUGUGAGUGUCGACUUUUUGAGACAGUUCCGUAAUAUUUUAUAUUUAAGCACUAAUUUGGCGUUUAGUAGCGCGCCACAUACUUAGCUUGAGAUUUUUUAAACAGGAUGUUUGUAUCAUUACACUGUGAUAGCUUUUUUCAAAAAAAAAAAAAGACACGACCAAAUUCGACGGUUUCCCCCUAUUUCGUGUCCUACGAAUCGAACUGCAUCAUUACCUUUUUGAGUUAUGGUUUCAUACAAAAAUUUUUGUUGAAGAUUUUCAUCAAAGUGACCCAUUGUAAGAGAAAGGCACAUUAUUCUUCGGUCUCUAACUUUUUUAAUGUUGACUUCUUUGGCAAAGCUUCUUAGAAUAAGUCCGUCUUUAAGUUCUUAGAUGACUGUAAACCCCAACAUCAAUGUUUUUUCUGUCCUUAUAGCCAAUAUGUCGAAAAAACUUAAAUUUAAUCCAUUUUUUUUAAUGUUUUUCCCUCACGUUUCGUCAAUAUUUUAAUUUACCCUUUGAUACUUAUACAUUAAGUGACAUCUUGUAGUAGUAAGAAACUUAAGCAAAGACAACGUUCUGAGCAAACUAACUAAAAAAAAACUUAACAAAAUUUGUAUUUUUUAAAAAAGCUACACUAACUAUGUUUGUGUGCUGUUUUAUUUUUUUUUUGUAUCUUAUAAGUGUUAUCAAUAAGUAUCAUAAAUUUGUACACAAUAUUUAAAUUAAAUUUAAUAAGACUCAUCUAUCAAUGUCCAACACAAAUCAGCAAGCAAUAUGAGUAAAUCGAGAUGCCGAAGAUUUUAAAUGUUUGACAGAAAUAUUUCCAAGACUAAGUGCUUGUAACUCAAACAAGUAAUGAUGCAGUUCGAUUCGUAGGACCCGAAAUAGGGGGAAACCGUCGAAUUUGGUCUUGUCUUUUUUUUGACUAUCACAGUGUUAUUGGCGAAAGUCAUCCUGCGGGGUCGAAAAGUUACGUAUAUUUGUGUUUUUAUCUGAGGUUGUCAGAGGGAAUCUGACUGUCAAUUCGGUGGCUUGAGUAGUAAUCGUACUACGAACCGGCCAUUAUUUGAUCGAGUAGUUGGGGCCUUACAGAAGUCUUUACAAUGCUGAUCUUCUACAGUUUUAUUUAAUAAAGGGGGACGUUUGUCUAUAAGGCUAUUAGAACAGGGACGUUGCAGUUGGCAUCUGCUAGCUUUAAGGGAUCGUCUCUGUAUGAAAUUUUCGAAAAAUCAAAUUUUUUGUUGCAUUAUCGGUUGGUAUACACUGUAAACUGCUUUUUUUAAACUGCCACCAUUUUGGCAAAUUUCAAAAAAACCAAAAAAGCUUCCAUAGCGGGAAAGCGACUUUUUUGCAAAUUAAUAAUCUUUUAGAAAUUCAGUGAGUUUUCUGAGCGUCAGACUGAGGCGAUCCCUUAAGUGUGAAACCUGUUGUCAUUGCUUUCUAUUGAUUUGAUAGCUUGGAAGCAUGUUAGUAAGUUGCGGUUUAACAAUAGCUUCUGCUUUAAUUCGCUUAUCAACUUGGGGGGAAAUUAGAGCAAUUGGGCGGACUUUAUUUGAGUUUUUGAUUACUCUUCCGCCCAUUCACGUAAUUUCAAAAUUUUAUUGUUUGGUUGGAAAGUUUAGCUUACGAGUAUUUUGUGCCUUAGGCGCUAUGAAUGAUCAUUGUGAUCCUUGGUCUAUUAAGGCUCUGAGUUUAAACAGUUUUCGUCGGUAUUCGAUGGAAACGACUGCUGUGGGUAGUAAUACUCUAUUUUGAUUUUCGCUAUGUGGCGUUUGGGUUUUUAAGCCUUUGAGCAGAAUGGUUCUUUUUGGACAUUUUCGGGAUUUUGGUAUUCGGGAUUUGCUUUUGCAACUAAGCCCGUGGUUCUUUUUGUAUUAUAUACGCUUUUUUGGGUUGAGCUGGGAAAUGUACUGUAAUUUGCUUUUGCAAUUUAUGUAUGUGUGCGCGAGUUAUGUUAUAACAAUGCAAUCAACUGCAAGUUAUUUAAAUAUGAAUUUUGAGUUUCUAUUCAAUUGGCUUCUUUAAUGUAUAAAAUGAAUAUUAAGCAAUAUAUCUCAAAACGGCCACCGUUGUUGAUAUUUUUUAUUUACAUUUGCUUUGUCGCAACUUUGUCGAAAUUGAAAUUGUCUAUUGCUUAUUGUUCUUUGUCAAUAACAAUAUUACAAAUCAACAUAUAUUGUAACAUUGUUGCUACUAUUAUUUUAUUGUUUACAAACAUAUUUGAAAUGGUCAAACCCCGAAAUUAUUUUGAUGCUUAUGUAAAAAAUUAUGAAUGAUAUCUCAUUAUCGUCAUUCAUCAAGGAGGGGGACACACUAUUGCGAGCGUCUUGAGAACAAAUUUAGCAAACACUGAUGGCAAAUAUUAGAAUUAAAAAGUCUUAUCAUUCUCUAUACCAGAAGGUAUUUUCGGUAAGAAAUAUAAUCUAAGACAAUAUUUUACCAUAUGAGAUAAUUUAACAAAACUUAACAAAAAAGAUGGCUAUGAUCAAAAUAAACCAAUAGAGUUUAAGCCACAAAAUAAUAAAACAGUUGUGUUGUGUGGGGUUUUUUAAGUAAUAUAAGUAUGUAGAUGCAAACUUAGCAUCGGUAUAUUUUGGAAGCUGAGGGAUUAAUUCGCGUAAAUAUUCAUAAUUCAAGUAUGUCAUCGCAAAGAUAUUCUGGGCAACAUCUAUGUACAGCAAACUCAAAGACUUUGUAAUUCUAAUAAUAGGCAAAUUCAACAACGACAAAAUUAUCCUCAAAGGCAGGAAAAAUAUGCAAAAAAUCAAGACAAACUUGGAAUUUCGGACUGUCUUUAAGACAAAGGAAUAAUAAUAAUUUGUAUGGCCAAAAUACAGUUCGAGUAAGUGUUCGUAUUAAUCAAUCAUAUUCCCGUCCAGACCCAUGGACACCAAUUACAAUUACGAACUAAAUUUUCACAUGGAGUCAGAUCGGAAAAUUUACAAAUAGUAUUACCAACAAUAUAACGAGAACGAUAGCCAUAAAUUUGAGUGUUAUGAGCUUAACCCCUUGACUUAUUUCCACGAGUCUGGCUCGUGGUACAAUUUCUGUGCCUAACAUGAUUAUCACGAGUCUGGCUCGUGGUGCGUAGAAGUAUGCAUUUGAUGAAAAGAGAAUUGAAAUUUUCCCUUUAUUUUCAGCUAAUAAUGUAAAAAAAACGUUGUUGCAGUUGAGUGCAUUAUCUGCUGUGUAAUUAUCCAUAUUUUUUGUUACGCAUUAAAAUUAAAUCGUAGUAUUUUAUUUUUUGCAAAUUUGCAAAACAAGCGUGCGACAGUUCGGAAGCAUCAAAACUGGUUGGUUUAGUGCAAGUUGUGUACGAAUUUCGUUGUGCUAAUUGAUACGUCAAGGGGUUAAUCGGGAGGAAAUUGAAAAACUACUACAAAAUCUAAAUAAAGAAGAAUAUAAAGCUAUUUCUAGCAUAAUAAAAUUAAAUAAUUGUUUAUUUUACCAUGAAGGACAAGAAUUAACAACAACUGAAAGUAUACAACAUGAGAUAUUAACUAAAACAAAUAACCCAGUGUAUUUUAAGGUUUAUAGGUAUGCACACAUUCAUGAGAAGGAAAUUGGUAAACAAAUUCAAGAUAUGUUAAAAUUAAGUUUCAUUGCAGAAAGUCAUGGGUAGUUCCAAAAAAUUUGAUAGUUCGAUAAAUGAAAAUACGAUUGACGACAAGUUUCCUAUUACAAAUAUAUAAACUAUUUUAGAUAACUUGGGAAGGUCACAAUACUUUUAUACAAAGGAAGACCGGCCUAAAACAGCAUUUUCUAUACCAUUCGGUCAUUAAGAAUUCGUACGAAUGGCUUUUGGUUUAAAGAAUGCAUCGGGAACUUUCCAAAGAAUGAUGAAUUUUGUCCUAAAGGAUCUCAUCAAUAAAAUAUGUGUCGUUUAUAUAGACGAUAUUCUCGUCUUUGACACAUCUUUGCUUUGCUUGUUGAUAAUUUGCAUAAUAUUUUCCUAAGGUGUUAAAGUAAACCCCGAAAAAAUUAAAAGCAUUGUGGAACUUAAAUUACCUCAAACACAAAAGCAAAUUUGUAAAAUAUUUUGCCAAAGUUGCACAACCUAUGACCUCAUGUUUGAAAAAAGAUAUGUAUAUUAAUACAAAAGUUAUUAAUUAUGUAAAUUCAUUUGAAAAAUUUAAACGAUUUUUGACAGAAGCACCAAUUUUGAAGUAUCCUGAUUUUAAUAAGCGAUUUAAAUUAAUAACUGAUGCAAGUAAUUUUGCAGUCGGAGCAGUACUACAAUCACCCUGUGUGUUUUGCCAGCAGAACUAACUCUAAAUGAUCAUGAGAAAAAUUACUCUAUGGGCCGUGAAUUAUUUUCUUCCAUAUCUGUAUGGUGUACAAUUUGACUUACAAACUGAUCACCAACCACUUAAAUGGCUUCAUGCAAAAACACAAUCCAAAGAUUACAAAGAUGGUUGAUAAAGUUAGGAUAAUAUAAUAGGAGCAUACAAUGUAUUCAAAGUAUGUAAAGAUAAUAAAGUAGCCGAUUUUUUGAGCCGCAUAAAUUCGGAUAUUAAUGAAAUAAAUACAACUGAGAAUCAAGAAAUUAUAUAAACUUUUUUGAGGGAUCUUUGGAUAAUAAUAUAGAUGAAAAUGAUAUUGAUACCAUACGUUUACAACAUAAUAACUUUAAUGAUUAUAUACCCACACUAGAAACAGUGAUUAACCGUUUUAAACACACAAGUUAUUUUUACGAACUCAAAGAAAACUGAGUUCGAAACAAAAUUUGGCAAUAAGGUGGUAUACUUGUAUUAACCAGAAUAGGGUCCCAGCUGUCUAUAGGGAUAUUUUGUGUCGAUAGAACCGACAAAGAAUUUGAAACAGUGGAUUCUAGUUUGAUGAAUUCUUCACUUGUUUCUUUCUUAAUUUUUGGCGAGUUCAUUAGUGUCGUUACUUGUUUAUCGACCAUUAUUCUUUAGUUUUCGUAUCGUUCUAAAACUUCCCAAUCCAAAUUGAAAUUAUGUUUGUUUGACUUCUAGUUUUGUAUCGGAAGUGAUACAAUUUUUGCGCUUUUGAUAGUUUCGGAUGGUUGAUGUAAACGGUUGUAAACAUGUCCCGGAAGGACGAUCAUUCUUCAUAACCUCCAUAAAAUGUUUCUGCGUCACAUGCGGGCACUGUUGUUGUAUGCAGGUAUGCUUACGCACUUAUGUAGGUUUGUAAAUUUGCUUUAACACUAGAUUGCCUAAGCAAGUCAUUUUGAAUGCUUUUGAAUUUCAAUUAAAAAAUAGUGAUUUAAAUAAUGGCAUAGCUCAGUGGUUCCCAAACUUAUUUUGUCUACCGUCCACUUUGAGAAUAAAUAUUUUUUUAGCGCCACCAUUUUUUCACCUAUUUAAAAACCACUAUAACUUUAAAUUAAUUAUUGUGAUCUAUAUAUUGUAUGUACAUAUAUUAACGUAGAAUUCUAAAGGAAAAUUUUACUAUAACCAGCAACUUGAAACCUGAGAGCAGUAGGUAACAUACAACGGCGCUUAGGUCUCAAGUUAACUCUUACGGGCUCCACCUGCCAAUAAGAAUGAUUAUUGAAACACAACUUUAUAGUAUUAAAACAGAGAAUCUUUUAUUAAAAAUAAAACUAAAAUAAUCGAUCCAUAUAUAAAAAACUAAUGUGAAGGAUGAAUCUGAUGCUGUUUAAUAAGUUUGUUAAUAUCAGGUUCCAAUUUACUCAAGAACAGUCGCAAGUCGCCACGUUCGGUAACAAGCAAACGAUUUCUAUUUUUAGUAAGCAGUGUUGUCACAGCACUAAAUCCACGUUCACACAAAUAUGACGAUGGGAAUGCUAUCAGGAAUCGUUGAACGAUUGACCACAAUCCAGGGUACAAUUGCGAGAUCGGUUUUUGCAGCCAAAAUUCUUGGUAACCAUUUUUGAACUUGAUUUUUAUUUCCUCGUUUGUUGUAAAUUCUAUAAGUUCUUCUUCCAGCUGAGGUGACAUUGCUGUGUUGAUAUUUGAAAACGGAUCCAACACCCAGUCUGAUAUUUCCAAGUUCAAAAUGUACUGGUAUCGUUCGGUGAAGUCAAUGUGGAGGUUUUCCAAAUGUUGGCAGUAGGCAAACAAUUCGUUGUUACUGCAUGAUACUGAUAAAUUCGGAAAAUUGUGAAACUCACGUCUGCCCAGAUUCAUUUUGUGUAGAAGCAGUUUGGCUGCGAAAGCAGCAACGACGUUUUUUGUUUUAAUUAAAUUUAGUUUAUCGCCUUGCAGUUGGAGAUUCAUGUCAUUGAACAAUUUAUACAGGUCUGUCAUUUUCCAAGAACUCUAUAACAGAGUCAAACAGGUUGUAGAAUCGAGUCAGACAAUUGCCUCAACAGCCAACGAACUUCAGUAUAAAACAACAAACGAUUGAAAUCCUCGUCAUUAGUAACACAAAGCUGAUGAAGUAAUCUAUCAUUCAAAGAGCUGUUGCGGAUUUUAUUGACUGCUUUGAUGACAUAUUGCAGUGAUUGAAAUAGUUUUUCACUUAAGUUUCUAGUAACUAUGUAAAUGUUGUCUAUGAAUAACGCAAUGUACACCAAGGAUAUCUGGAAUUUUAUUUUUUAAGUGCGCUAUUAAGCCUUUAUGGCACCCUAUCAUAACCGGAGCGCCACACAGUGGUGCCAGAACGGAAAAAAGGAUUUUUUUAUCAUUCCAAAUUUGUACCAUCUUUUCAAUUUAAGCUAAGAAUUAAUCAAAUAACAUUAUCCGAAUACUUCGGCUUGAUAUAUUUUUUGUUGGGAGAGCUUCAAAGUCCAACAAAGUAUCAACGCAAAGUUACUCAGAAAAAUGUGAUGAAUAUUGCAAAGGUUAAAACUCAAAAGAUAACCAUAAAAUAUCAAUUGUAAAGUUUUUAUUUAUUAAAACCAAUGUUAUAGCUGUGAUUGACAUCAUCAAAUGUAUACUUUCUUUUUCAAGAUUUUUUUUUCAUGAUCCAAAAAAAUCAUAUAUUUCACAACUUCAACAGAAUAUAACUAUUGUGCGCAGGAGCGCGCAGGAGCGCGCAGGUUAGCCAUUUACACAAAAUAAACUUUAAAAUCUCCUUAAUCGAUAGAGAAAAAAUCAGCUGCAAUUAGCUGCCAAUUCAUGAGUAAUUAGCAUUUUAAUCACCUGCAACUGCGUUGUUUGUUUGCUUUAUUCGUUGCUUUGUUUUUUUUGCCUGUUUCGUUGUUUUGUUUGUUUUUUUUUGAUUGUUCGGUUUGUUGCUUUGUUGUUAUUUUUUGGAGUUGUCUCUCGUUAUACAACAACAACAAAAUACUAGUGUAGAUGCAUUAUAUUAUUUGAACUAAUUACACAGUACAACAGCUAAUCUGGGGGGGUGAGAAAUUCCAAGUCAGGGUGAUGGUACUAGGUCAGUAUAGUAUGAAAAUAAUGAGGAGAAAUUACUGUACUGGUAAAAUUUAACACCAUCAUCCACUAGAUUUUGUAGACCAGCAAAAUUCGAGUUUGUGAAAGAAACAGCCAAUGUUAUUACUGAGGAAGUUAACCGUGUUGAAAACGAAAUUCGUAAUUUAAAUAACAGUGUAGUAAUUAUUUCAAACCGGACUUUCGAAAUAAGUCAUUGUCUUGCUCUUACAAUGAUUGAUGGUAAAGUUGUUAAUACCGUAACUGCAACCUCAGCAAUGAGUGUAUGUUUCAUAUCGUCGGCUUAACGUGCAAAGGUGCUAAGUGCCAUUUUUAAAUUAUUAAAUAAAACAAAAAAAACUGAAUAAAAAUUGAAGUUCAAAUUUUUUUUUAUUUUUCUAACGCAGUUUUGUCAACUGUGAUAUUUCAUUUAAGUACAAAAAAAAAUAUAAUAAAAAAUUUAAUGAGCGCCUUUAUAUAGGCCUUUUUUGGACUUAGCACAUUUUCUGGAGUUAUUUGCACUUGGAUGUAUUGGACUUAGCACAUUUUCGAAAAAGAAAUAUUGCAGUUUUUUUUUUGCAAAUGGCGUAUUUUAUUAUCACAAAAAAUAUUAUACGUUGCUGUCGUUUAAAGGAAUACAUAAGUACUUAAAUGGAAAAUCUUUGUUUAAGCCUUAAACUUUAAGGUAUCACAAAAAGUUAAUAUAUCAGUUCGGUCUUAAUUCAUUGCUGUUUGGAAAUUAUAAAUUAAGCACAGCCGAAGGCCUCUGCUGCCAGUGCUGCUAGAUAUUUAUUUGUAGAAUAUUAAGUAUUGUACAAAUAAUUUAUAAAAUAAAAAAAUAAAAAAAAUAAAAAAUAAAUUAAGCAAAACAAAAAAAUAUAUUAAAAAAUAAGAAGAUAUCACUCAUGUGGCAGGUCGUCAUAAUAUUGAUGGUAGUCUCUUGGCAAAGAAGUUUUUAAAUAUUGCAAAUCUGCGUAAUUUCUUGCUGUUAAUUUUCUUCUUUCUUGGUGAAGCUGUGGCAAAUUAGACCAAUCCGUUGGCACAACACUUCUGUCCACUCUUUGUUGUAAAUAGCUCCAUGGCUCGGGAAAACGCAAUUUAUAAAAUAUUUCCCAUUCCGGUGUGUAGGUAUAUAAUCGCACGAAUAUCGGUGACUUUUGAUUCACCCUUUCCGCGACCAGGACGAAUUGUUUUUAAAAAUUGUAUGCCCUUGAAACAUUUGAAAAAAGUAUGAUCCAAAUACUCUACCAUAUAAGGUGUAGGUUUCUUUCGAGCAUUCUGACAUAUUUGAAUAUACUCUGCUGGUACAUUAACAAUUCGGUGUUUAAUAACACGCUCGAUAACUGAAUGUACGCUAUCAGCUUCUAUUUGGGUGUGCCCCGUUUCCAGUAUUUUUUGCUCAAUUAUUACGCCAUGUUUAAUAGAUGUAUUGAGCAAAGCGUUACUCAUAGAAACAUUCCUAUUCUGGUACGUACAUCCAUCACUAUAAAGAAUAAUUUUCGUAGCAGCAUUCUCGGUAAGAUUUGGAAUUAUUUUAUUCUCGAUGAAGUACACCCAAAUGCUAGCAAAUUCUUCGGCAGAUAAUCCACCUUCUACUUCGUUCCAUAUGAAGCAAUAAGCAUCAUGAUUUAUCAAAUUGUAAAACACCAAAUUGUGGACUUGCAACUUCGUGCGGUAAUAAAGGCUGCUUACUUGGGAUUUUGGUGCCAUUAAGACCGCUUGCAGAUCAAUAGUAAACACGAAGGUUUCUUCGAUUUUGUCCUUUUGUUUCUCUUCCCUAGCUUCAUGUUUUUUUGCCUGGUGAAGAUUGUAGACGUCAUCCAAAAUAUCUCCCACAGUAUGUCGCGCACAGAUUUCACACUGAUCUUUUUUAGGGAAGAAUAGACCAAGCUUUUGAUCCGCAAAGGCGUUAUAAAAUGCUGAAAUAGAGAGUGGGGGUUUUCCAUGUGCAUUACACCAAUCCUCUACGUAAAAUUCGAAGAGUUGUUUUUUUGACGACCAUUCUGGCAAAAGAUAUUUUUUUUUGAGUUGUUGCACAGCAGUAAUGUGAUUCCAUGGUUGGCAGAGAAUUGAAAAACGAUUUUAGAGAUUCACGUGCAAUGCUACAAUUUUGUUGUCGUGCGUUCUGUGUAGUGUUUCUUGAAAUCGUAGGCUGCUUAACCCAAUUUAGCACCGUACGUCUGCCAAUGCUAAGAGUGUUCAAGAAGAAUUUUCUGCAAACUUUAACACUUUUUUGCUCGACUCUUACAUGGUAUUGAAAUGUUCGACUCCUUCUGCUCUUGUGUUUAUCUUUGCGAUUUCGCAUUCUUGCAGGAGUUGUUACUUGAAUCAAUGUAUUUACAUAAGUCUGUUUCUCUUUCCAGUCCAUUUGCCAGAAUUGUUUAAACAAUGCUUGUCUUUGGUCUUCAGUAAUUUUUGCACAGUGGAGAGCAGCAGAACUAGUGGCGUUUUUACAGCUACAUCGCUCUCCAAUGACUUUUGCAUUUCUAACUCUUCGAUGAUUCCACAGGCCAUUCUCUUUCUUUUUCCCCAGAUAAAGUUUCCCAUUUUCUCUCUGUUUUUUAUUUUUUGCUGCGAACCAAGCUGGAUUAACCAUUUUUCCUCUUCUUUUGCGGGUUUGUGACUUAGAAGGAAAGUCAAGUGAUUCAUCCGAAUCGCUAUUAAAGCCAUAAGGCGCCAGUCCUAAAACUCCAUCAUCUGCGUCAUCGCCAUAACAGCUGCAAUGCUCGUUACUGCUUUUAUCACUAUCCAUUGAAUUGAAAUUCAUCCUAAAAAUAAAAAAAUAAAUAGUUUUUAUUGAAAUUAUUUGAAUAACUACUUUAGCACUUUAUAAUUAUAACUAUUUCACUUACGUAAAUCUUAAGCUUGUUCGUCGCGCUUAUAUACUUUUUUUCUAGUCGUUCGGGAGCACGAUUGCCGCUUCGUCAACCCCAAGUAUCACACUUUAUAAUUAUAACUAUUUCACUUCGUUAAUCUUAAGCUUGUUCGUCGCUCUUAUAUACUUUUUUUCUAACAAAUUUCUCUAGUCGUUCGGGAGCACGAUUGCCGCUUCGUCAACCCCAACUAUCACAAAAAAACAUCUAAGCGAAGUGUCGAAUAACACAGCAGCUAUGCCGUGUUACCUAGCAAAAAAGACAAAGCACACUUUAGGUAGCAAUCACAUUGUCAUGUGGACUUAGCCCGCGCGAUUUGACAGUUGCGGACUUAGCACUUUUGCACACCACUGCCCAAAAUAGCUUUAAAAUAAAGUAAAUCAAUUUUUUUUUUUUGUAGCUGAUGUGUUUUAUAUUUAUCUAUCGAAUCUCUUCAAAAUAUCAAUUUUGACCAUAAGUGGACUUAGCACCUUUGCACGUUAAGCCGACGAUAUGUAAAGCAAAACCAAAGGAAAUAAAUGAUUUAAAUGGUAUAUUGAGGAGAACAGUAAACGAAGGUUCCCUAAGAUUUGGAAUUUCUCCCUUGCAUGAAAGAAUUAAGUUUAUGGAGUGUAUUCUGCAUAUUGCUUACAACAAACAUUUUCGCAAAUGGAGAACUGACGAUCGUACCAAAAAACUGAAGGCAGAUGAAAAAGCACGUAUUCAAGCAGAUUUGAAGUCAUCCUUGGGAAUAAAAGUUGAUGUAGUGAAGCAGUUACUGGAUACGACAAAUGAUGGCAAUACCUCACGAAGACUUUUGAGAAUCCUGCUAAAACUGCCGAUAUUGUUGGCGUUGACGAAAACCUGAUACAUAGAUUUAAAAUAAUAUUAAAUACAAUCAAUAGUCAAGCAGCAAUAGAUCCUCAAAAAUUUGAAAUUUAUUGCAUGAAAACUGCGAGGUUAUAUGUCAGCCUUUAUGAAUUUUACUAUAUGCCAAUGGCGGUACAUAAAGUUUUAAUGCAUGGAAGUAAAAUUGUUUCAUCCUCUAUUUUACCAUUGGGCAUGCUAUCAGAGGAGGCUCAAGAAGUUCGCAAUAAAGAUUACAAGAAAAAUAGGCUUAAUCAUUCUAGAAAAUGCGACAGAAUUUCUACAAAUCAAGAUGUAAUGCACUUGCUUUUAGCUUCAUCGGAUCCUUUUAUUAAUGGUUUCAGAACAAAUCCCAAAAAUAAAACUUUAGAAUUGGAAGAUGAUAAUAAAAAAUUACUUGUUGAAUAAAUAAUUAAUAAUAUAUGAUCAUUUUUGAAUAUUUUUUGGUUAUGUUAUAUGGGAGGUGGGCGUAGUUGUGGGCGGACUUGUUUCAUUUUUAGAGAAAUAAUAACCUUUAUUGAUUCAAAUCCGUUUGCCAAUUUCUAAUAGUCUAGCUGUGAUAACAGCGAAAAUAUUGCAACUUUUGUGAUUAUAUUAUAUGGGAGAUGGGCGUAAUUGUGGGCGGAUUUGCUUUAUUUUUUCUGGACAAGCUUAUAUUUACAAAAUAUUACACUAUAGAAAAUUUUGUUACUGUAGGAUGAUUUUUGAUUUUUGUGUUAUAUGGGAGGUGGGCGUGGUUGUGGGCGGAUUUUAACAAAUUUUUUUUUUUGCAUUUAAUUUGGCAAUAUGAGAGAUAUGUGCCAAAUUUCAAAGCCCUACCUCGAUUCCUUCUAUUUUUUGUCGCGGCUUGUAUGAAGCGGCACCACUGUGCGCCAUCCGUAGCAAUUGAAAUAAUAUUUUUCAAAGGAAUCUCUUUCUCAUCGUAAAACUUUUCCAAUAUAUUGAAUAUGGUUUCGCCUUUUGUAUCGGUCUCUAAAUUUCUAGCAAAUAAUAGCUCUUCACAUAUUUUCUCAUCUUUAAUAAACCUAACGUAAGACAACAACAAUGCUUCAUUAGUUAGUAAAGUGGACUCAUCGAGCUGAAUUGCAAAUUGGCUUGUCCUUCUUCAAUGUUUUAAGCCAUUUCAUCAACUCGUCUUUGCACAGAAUUAUUACUCAAAGGAAUUUUUCGGAUAAUAUCUGCGGCCAGUUUAUGAAGCACGGUAGUUAUUACUUCAUUUAUUGCUGGCAAUAUUAACUCUUCUCCGAUGUUAUGUGGUUUGCUUUUUUGAGCAAUUAACAAAGAGAUAUUGUACGAAGUCCGUCGUCAUCUUGCUUAGCAGCCGCCGAAAAUAGUUUUGCUACACUUGGCUGAGUAUUAUGCUUCUUCUCUAGGUCUUCUCGAGGUCAAAUGAUCUUGCAGUUUUGAAGGCUUCAUUCGAAAAUUAUUUUAGACAUAGAAGACACAAAGGCAAGGAUGGGUAUGUGGGAUUUUCAAUGAAUCCGAAUUUAAUAUAUUCCGCACAAUAUUGCCGUCUCUUCUUUUUUACUUCCUAAAUUGUUUUGCUUUGAGAAAUACGUUUAACUUCGCGAGUAGUGUAAAGGAGGCGUAAGUAAUGCUCAUCUAUUGCGUGCAAAACCACAAAUGAAUAUAAAAUAAAAUUACAUUGUUUAUGUAGGAAUGCUUAAACACAAUUAUUAUAUAGUAGUCCAAAAAUAUGAAUUCUUAUUUCUCCUAGAAAUAUAUUUCUAAAAAAGGAUCUUUCUCCUUUUCGUAUUAUCUUAUUUUUCCCAGAAAUACAUUUGUAAAAAAAGAUCUUUCUACUUUUCGUAUUAUCUUAUUUUUUCCAGAAAUACAUUUGGUAAAAAGAAUCUUUCUCCUUUUCUUAUUAUCUUAUUUUCCCCAGAAAUACAUUUGUAAGAAAGGAUAAAGAUCCUGUUUUUAUUUUCCACAUAAAAGAUUUAAGGAGUUCAAAAGCUCAAAACGUGCGCUACAUCAGCUACCUACCCGACGUCAUUUCGCAAGUGAUAAAAUAAAUUUUUCAAGAGCUCAAAGCAUGCGCUACAUCAGCUCGAACCUACCUACCGUACACCUUUGCGCAAAUGAUUAUAUUAUGAUAGCAAAUGCCCACAUACAGAUUUGGCAAUGGCAAUAGCAAUUCGUUUGACAGUUAGUAUUCUGUAAAUUCUAUCCUGUCGAGAUGCCCCGUUAUGAAACGGAGCGACCGAGUGACAUGAUUUUCAUUUUUUCUAUAUUCAAUAAAAUAGGACAGAUAUAUGAACUACGCGGAGAGAAAUAUAGAACCGAGUUUGAGCAAUCUUUUAAUUCAUAUUAGUUGAUGUUCACAAGUUGUUGUUGAGAGUCGAGAGCUCAUGUAGUCGUUGUCUAAGAGGCCUCUUAGCUAAAUAAAAUUACAAAUAACCCCCCAGACCUCUACACAACGCCCCCAUUUUCUUUUUGGGUCUCUUACCGCCCCCCUUGACACUUGCAGCGCCCACAAGGGGGCGUUAUCGCCCACUUUGGGAAACACUGGCAUAGCUUCUUAUAAUUUUGUGACUUUUGCUACAAUAUUUAAAUGGAUUAAUUAAUCAUUGUUGUUGCCCUCUUUCCAGUAUAUAUGUACAUAUAUGUACAUAUGUAUACGUGUGUUAUACCUGUAUUGCCGAAAAGCAGUAAUUUUGACUGGUUGGAAAAGACCAGUUUGACUAUGGAUUAGAAUCACAUGAUAACAUGUUCAAUAAGUAUUGUUAUUGUUAUUCGUACUAUUAUUCGAAUUUUUAUACCAGGUCUACUUCUCGCACUUCCAGUCGUUCUAACACGUUGUUCAGCUGAUUUUUUUCGCGCCCGAAUUUCAUAAAAGAAAUGUCUAACAGGAGAGAAUUUUCAGAAAAGCUAAGAAAGAUAGGAGAAGAGUGUUCCGAUAUAGAAUCAAAUGAAACGAAGUGGGAACUAUCAUCUGAAGAUGAAUUAGAUCAUAUGGAACGUUAGGUAAAUAAUCUUGUCGGUGUAUUCUCGUUGAUAAUAAACCAUUAUAUUAUCAAACAUAUAUGUAUAAAAGUGCAGAAGCCCGACGAAUUUUGGAUUACGAUUGGCUUGUGGAGCCUAUGAAGCAAAAAAUUUAAAACUAAGUUAUUUAUGGUCAGUCAAGUUUUAACAAACGGACUGAAUGAAGUACACGCAUCCGAACACACAAAUGUGCCUUGAUUUCGGAAAUAUGGGACAAGUUGAAAACAGUAAAGCUUGCUUUCAACCAGGGCAAAACAUAACAGUUGAUGAACAAUUAUUUCCAACAAAAGCUAAGUGAGAUUUUUAUUAGUUGAAACUGUUAGACGAAAUAAACUAGAGCAGCCAAACAGUCGAAGGAUAACAUGCCUCGUUUUUCCACUCUUUUAUAUAGAUCAGAAAAUUGUGUCCUUACAAUAUAUAAAAGCAAGGCGAACAAAAGAGUGGCUAUUAUAAGUUGUAGGCAUAAAUUUGAAAAAAAUUGAUAAAAGUAAUAGAAAAAUGUUACCAGAUUCUAUUCAUUUUUAUAAUAAAACAAAAUUUGGAGUUGAUAGGGCAGAUCAAAUGGCCAGAAAAUAUACGGUGAAAUCUAGUUCUCGUAUAUGGCCCCUCCAAAUAUUUUUUAUCAUUUUAGAUUUGGCUGCAAUAAAUGCUUGGAUCCUUUAUAUGCAAGGCAUACACACAUCAAUUAGUUGGUUGAUUGAGUUGCGCUAGAAAUUGCCCUUGUCACUACACACGACACAACUUUUAAUACAAUUUUGAGGCCAACUUCAUUUUGAAUAUUCACUUCGUUGCUUAAACAUGAGCUCGGAAGUUGUUGCUUUACUUAUUACAUAUGACGCGCUCUCUUCGACAGCCGAAAUAAAAUGGCGAAAUCGUUUGAAAUCACACAACCAACCCAAACACUAUCCAACUAACACAACCAACUUCACAAAAUAUCAAAAAAUUUUGAUUUUCAUCCAACCAGAUUUUGAUUUUCAUUCAACUCAUACAACUGCCCCAUAUACGUAGCAAUCAGUUGUUCAAUUCGUUGAAGUUGAUACAAUAAUUGGUGCAUGUAUGCCUUGCUAUAAAGAAGAAUACAAACAACGAAAGCAGUUCCUGUUUCAAUAAGCAGAACAGCUAGCCGCCGAUUACAGAACUGAAAGAGGGAAACUUUCAUCACAGCAGGAAGACGCACAAGUAUCAACUGCAACAUCUUCAAAUAUAAUACAACAGUUUUACCAAACGAAAAAUUUGCCACAAUAACAAAACAAAUAAUAUUUGUCAGAAAUGUAAAAACUAUGUUUGCGGUAGAUACACAUCCAAUAAGAUUUGCGCAUUCAUUUGCUCA